CCCUGAGGUUUCUAGGGAGGGACCAUUCUGAUUCUAGAACACAACUCUUGGCCCUCUUUCUGUUGCUUGAAUCCCACAGAAUUGAAAAUGAAUUGUUCUCCACGUCAAGACAUCCCGGGAACUGGCAUGCUACCUGGCGCCUAGGGGCCCGAGAUCCUUAUCGGAAGGGGAGGGUGGGGCCAGGAAUGUAGAGGGUAGAAGACAGGAUUUCCUGUGGAAAUUCAGCUUGAGUCUCAAAAUACCACUGGAACUAGUAACGCCGCUCUUUCCCUCUUCCUCUUCCCUACCCACCAGCAGCCCACGCGGGACCAGCUCCUUAGGGAUCCAGGUCUGAGGGCUGCAUUUGACUGUUUAUAGAACAGCAAGAAAUAGACUAAUCUUCACCUGCUGACAAAGUGAAUAUGGGUUCAACCGCCUUUGGAGAACCAGGAGAGCCCGGAAGCCGCUGACGCAGAUGUGAUAAGCCCAGAGACUCACUGAAAGUCAGGUUAGACUCAGCUGGCUGUGCUCUUCGCAGACUGUGUCCUCACAGUCGUGGAGAUGGGCAGACGCCACGGUCUAGCG